UACGUAGGGGGCUAGCGUUGUCCGGAUUUAUUGGGCGUAAAGAGCGUGUAGGCGGCCAGGUAGGUCUGCUGUGAAAACUCGAGGCUUAACCUCGAGAUGUCGGCGGAAACCAUCUGGCUAGAGUCCGGAAGAGGAGAGUGGAAUUCCUGGUGUAGCGGUGAAAUGCGCAGAUAUCAGGAAGAACACCCGUGGCGAAGGCGGCUCUCCGGGACGGUACUGACGCUGAGACGCGAAAGCGUGGGGAGCGAACAGG
rnacentral:rRNA from 1 species